UGUGGCUAGGGUUAGCAAGAACGCAGGGGCGGCGGCUAAGCACGUGAAAUUAUAAGGGAUGACGGGACCGGCCAGCUCUUGUCCUCCUUCAAUCCCGAUUUUCGGCCGACGGGUUCUACCGUGAUGUUCGUUUCGGCGCUAUCGUCCAGGGCACGGCCAAUUCAUGUUGACCGGAAACAACGAUAUGAAGCCGCCGAUUCCUAAACGACCCCGGCGGAUGGCUAUGUCGCCGGAAUCAGCACCUUUAGCCUCCGGCAGUAGCAGCUUCAUCCCAGAUGAUAUAAUCUUCUUUCAGAUACUCGUACUUCUUCCUGUGAAGUCCCUUGUGCGCUUCCAAACCGUCUGCAAGUCAUGGCGCACCACAUUAACCAGCAUCAGUUUCGUGCGCUGGCACCUGGAGCUUUCCAAGCGAACAAGGUCGACCAUGGUCCUCGUGCCACGCAAGUAUCAGGAGGACCGACGGAAGGCGUGUUCUAGAUUACUCAGUAUCUUCAGCUUCCAGCCAGG